AAUCUUGUGCCAGCCACCGCGGUCACACAAGAGACUCAAAUUAAUUGUGUACGGCGUAAAGAGUUGUCACUAUGAUAUCACAGCAACUAGAGUCAAAGUGCAACUAAGCUGUCAUAAGCUCAAGGUGCAUCUAAGUCCGCCCUUAAAAUGACUCUAGCGCCCAUUGAUUAAUUUAACCCCACGAAAGCCAGGACACAAACUGGGAUUAGAUACCCCACUAUGCCUGGCCCUAAAUCUUGAUGCUUGUCAUACCAAAGCGUCCGCCUGAGAACUACGAGCACAAACGCUUAAAACUCUAAGGACUUGGCGGUGCCCCAAACCCACCUAGAGGAGCCUGUUCUAUAAUCGAUAACCCACGAUACACCCGACCACCUCUUGCCAAAACAGCCUAUAUACCGCCGUCGCCAGCUCACCUUAAUUGAAAGGACAGCAGUGAGCACAACAGCCCAAACCCGCUAGUAAGACAGGUCGAGGUAUAGCCUAUGGGGUGGGAGAAAUGGGCUACAUUUUCUAAAAUAGAAAACCUACGAAAGAGGGCAUGAAACUGGCCCCCGGAAGGCGGAUUUAGCAGUAAAGCAGGACAAUAAAGCCCCCUUUAAGUUGGCCCUGAGGCACGUACAUACCGCCCGUCACCCUCCUCACAAGCCACAAACCCCUUAUAACUAAUACAUCACACGGCUGAAGAUGAGGUAAGUCGUAACAAGGUAAGUGUACCGGAAGGUGCACUUAGCACAC
rnacentral:rRNA from 1 species